ACGUAGGUGGCAAGCGUUGUCCGGAUUUAUUGGGUUUAAAGGGUGCGUAGGCGGCCUAUUAAGUCAGUGGUGAAAUAUUUCAGCUCAACUGGAAUUGUGCCAUUGAUACUGAUGGGCUUGAGUACAGAUGAGGUAGGCGGAAUUGACGGUGUAGCGGUGAAAUGCUUAGAUAUCGUCAAGAACACCAAUUGCGAAGGCAGCUUACUACACAGUUAUUGACGCUGAGGCACGAAAGCGUGGGGAUCAAACAGGA
rnacentral:rRNA from 1 species